rnacentral:rRNA from 1 species
AUUGAACGCUGGCGGCAGGCCUAACACAUGCAAGUCGAGCGGAUGAAGGGAGCUUGCUCCUGGAUUCAGCGGCGGACGGGUGAGUAAUGCCUAGGAAUCUGCCUGGUAGUGGGGGAUAACGUCCGGAAACGGGCGCUAAUACCGCAUACGUCCUGAGGGAGAAAGUGGGGGAUCUUCGGGCCUCACGCUAUCAGAUGAGCCUAGGUCGGAUUAGCUAGUUGGUGGGGUAAGGGCCUACCAAGGCGACGAUCCGUAACUGGUCUGAGAGGAUGAUCAGUCACACUGGAACUGAGACACGGUCCAGACUCCUACGGGAGGCAGCAGUGGGGAAUAUUGGACAAUGGGCGAAAGCCUGAUCCAGCCAUGCCGCGUGUGUGAAGAAGGUCUUCGGAUUGUAAAGCACUUUAAGUUGGGAGGAAGGGCAGUAAGUUAAUACCUUGCUGUUUUGACGUUACCAACAGAAUAAGCACCGGCUAACUUCGUG